rnacentral:misc_RNA from 1 species
GAAAAAAAUCCAUUUCAUUGUGAAUUGUACGUAAUUGAGAGAUAAAUAGACACAAUGGCAUUACAUUCCCGAUCUGCAUUAUGCCUAAGCUAAAAACUACUAAUGUCGAGAAAUUAAGAACGGCUAAAACCAUGAAUAUCGAUUAAAGGCAAAAUGAUCAGUAAGAAGCGCAAUGUACGUUGCCAUCACAAUAUCGAUUAACUAACAUGGAUUUCAAUAAUGCACGAAAACAAAAAGGAAAGUGUACCUGGUUGAUGAAUGACGAUAUAU